rnacentral:misc_RNA from 1 species
GAACGCACAUUGCGCCCCUUGGUAUUCCGAGGGGCAUGCCUGUUCGAGCGUCAUUAUAACCACUCAAGCCUCGGCUUGGUCUUGGGGUUCGCGGUCUCGCGUCCCCUAAAAUCAGUGGCGGUGCCGUCUGGCUCUAAGCGUAGUAAUUCUCUCGCUAUAGGGUCCCGGCGGUUGCCUGCCAGAACCCCCCAUUUUUUUACGGUUGACCUCGGAUCAGGUAGGGAUACCCGCUGAACUUAAG